CUGCACAACUCAAAUUAGACACUCACAGACCUUUUACGAGUCAAAAUUGUAUUGGUUGCCUUUGUUUUUUUUAUUUAUUUUGUUGUUUUCUUUAUUUCUGCAUAAGCUUCUCUCUCCUUCAAUACAAACGAAAAUUUGAAGGCAAAACAGAUUUUCCAAAACUUGAUUCACAACCCAAUCGAAGAUCUCAUCGAUUUCCAGAAAAAAUUGAUUGCUCCUCAUCGUCUUCUUUUGAUAUUUGAUUCCUCUUAGUUCUUCUCUGUUAGGUAAGAAGCUGAUUUGGUUGACACAAUCAAAGUAAUUGCUGAAUAAUUUUUGGUUCCUACAAGUCCGCAUACAUCUGGGUUUCUAUAUGAAUCUGUUUGUUUCAAUAGGUUUUGAGUAGAAUCUGUUUUGCAAGAAUCUAUUUUGAGUAAUCUGGGUUUUGAAGAGCUAAUUUUGGGUAUUAAUCUUUUGAUUUGUGAGGAAAAAAAUUGAAAAUUGGGAUUGUAAAGCAGAAGUAAUGAGCUCCAAUGGCGGUGGCGACGUCUACAGCAGCAAAAGCUUUUGAUGAUCCGCGAGAGCUAUAAAAUGACUUGCAGUUGGAGAAUUGGAGACUACGAAUGUCAAGUUUCGAUGGGACUGAAGCCAUUGGAGUGGGUGUCUUAGUCGAAGUUUUUCUUAGUACUGUUUUCUUCGGGUUGGAUUUACUGAGGCUCUCCUAUUGACAACGACAACUUCCUCUUGUCGGUCGCGUCUCUCUUUCCCCUGAUUGCUUGAAGACGGCGUUUACGUAUGAGUGGUGCCUCUUUCCCAUGGUUUAGCUUGCGUUAGAUGUGUUGCUCAGAUUGGUUCAUGGCGGUUAGAUCCUCUCCGCUUCAAAAUAACAAUCGAUCUCCUCUGAUCGUGGUUGGUGGAGUCAAGAGAUUUGACGGCGUUGGUGAACUUGCGUUCGCCUCAUCUUCGACUUCAAAUUUUUUUCAUCUCGCUAGGAUGUGCUCUAAAUGAAUCGGCCAUUAGAGCAGGUUUUUCGUGCUGUCAGGAGUAUAUUGAACGGUUUUGUGGCCUUCUUUGCUGCCUGUAACAGACAUCGGCUUAGUACUUAUAGUCACAUACAAGACUUUACGGAGAGACUACACAGACGAACCACGAGGCCAGAAUCUGUAGACUCAAGACAAGGCAAGUCUGUAAGAACAAUUAACCUAAAAAAUCAUGUUUUGCAGGUAGACGGAACUAGAAGGAAAUUGCACCUUGCAUAGAACUCAAAACCAGAUUCUUAAUUCUUUUCAUUUUUUUUUGUUCUCUUUUUAAUUACCGGAUAUGAUAGGUUCUUGUUGAUGUACGAAACCGACAAUAUUAAUAAUACGAAUCUUAAUGGGAAUAAAUCGGAGCUAGUCCUUUUAUU